CACGUAGGGUGCGAGCGUUGUUCGGAAUUACUGGGCGUAAAGGGCGCGUAGGCGGCCGCCUAAGUCAGACGUGAAAUCCCUCGGCUCAACCGGGGAACUGCCUCUGAUACUGGAUGGCUUGAGAUUGGGAGAGGGAUGCGGAAUUCCAGGUGUAGCGGUGAAAUGCGUAGAUAUCUGGAGGAACACCGGUGGCGAAGGCGGCAUCCUGGACCAACACUGACGCUGAGGAGCGAAAGCCAGGG
rnacentral:rRNA from 1 species